AUUGAACGCUGGCGGCAUGCCUUACACAUGCAAGUCGAACGGCAGCACGGGAGCAAUCCUGGUGGCGAGUGGCGAACGGGUGAGUAAUAUAUCGGAACGUGCCCAGUCGUGGGGGAUAACGUAGCGAAAGCUACGCUAAUACCGCAUACGAUCUAUGGAUGAAAGCGGGGGAUCGCAAGACCUCGCGCGAUUGGAGCGGCCGAUAUCAGAUUAGGUAGUUGGUGGGGUAAAAGCCUACUAAGCCUUCGAUCUGUAGCUGGUCUGAGAGGACGACCAGCCACACUGGAACUGAGACACGGUCCAGACUCCUACGGGAGGCAGCAGUGGGGAAUUUUGGACAAUGGGCGCAAGCCUGAUCCAGCAAUGCCGCGUGCAGGAUGAAGGCCUU
rnacentral:rRNA from 1 species